AAUUUAUUCUCUGGUAUCUCAACUUCUCCUUCAGCUCCCCACACAGAAGAUGUCACCCCUCAAAAACGAUACAAAUAGGUGGACAUUCACAAGUUAUACUUCAAACAGUAUUUCUGUUGCUGUACGUAAUGUUCUCUUGGUUCUACUCAUUUCACUCUUCAGAACUUCAUGUGCAGUUUCACAGAAUCACAAAAUUUCACAGCUUGACGGGACCUCAGAGAACCUAUAAUCCAGUCUAUCACAGUGUGGGAAUUCCGUCUCUCACAUUUCAGCCAAGGAUUAUCAGCUUGAACACCUCCAGUGACAGGAAACUCAUUAUAUUUCAGACCGACUCUCCCAGAUGGAGAUGGAUUUAUUCAAGUUCCUCCUGCUGCAAUACACCUGCAUCUCAGUAUCUACUCGAGCCCCUUCACUAG
rnacentral:lncRNA from 1 species